UCUCAAAUACUCACAAGGGCCGGCCACCUUAAGGGAAAAAGUUUUUAGCUAACAAUCUUUACACCCUUUUGGUUAUUCCUUCAUCCUUCUCACUACACUAGUGGGUGAGGAUCUUUAGAGGUUUCCUACUUUGGAAACUUGAAGAGAACCUAGGAGCACUCAUUCUUUAACAAAGUGGAGGAGGCAAGGAGGGAAGCUAGGCUCAAGGAUUUCAAGGAGCAAAGGGCUUGGAGGUGGUCCAUCCUUGGUCUCAAAUCUAGAUCAAGAGGUAUAAGAUCUAAUUCCUUAACUUUGUUUCUUGAUUCUUUAAAAUGUUUUGAUGCAUUAUAUAUAAACCUAUGAACCUUGAAGGGGAUUUUGCAUGACUAUAGCUUUGAUUUUAUUUGAUAACAUGCUUCCGCUGCUUCAUCGUAUAUUAAAUUGUUGAAUUGUAUAUGCAUGCUAGUCAUCUAUGAAAUCCCAUUCAUAGAAAUCUCAUAAAUUUCCCUUCAAGUGGUAUCAGAGCCAAAGGUUUAUGUAUAAUGUGUCCUUUUGGAUUUUAUGCAUAUGGGUAUUAAUGUUAUGUAUGACAUAUUUAUUGUUUCCAUUCAAAAUUAUGUUUAUCUUUUGUUUUUCAAUAGUUGAAAAAUGUUAGUCAAAAGUUGAGAAAGAUAUGUAUGCAAAAGUGUUUUGUAUGCAUGAAUAAAAAAAAAUGAGUUUAGAACUAGUUGACAUAUUAUUUCUUCAUUUAAAAGUAUGUUUAUCUUUUGUUUUUCCAAUGGUUGAAAAAUAUAAAUCAAGAGUUGAAAAAGAUAUGCAUGUAAAAGUUGUUUUGUAUGCAUGAAUGAAGAAUAAGUCAUGAACAAAAUUUGGGGUUUUGUUACUUGGGUUGGCAUGGUUUUGGGCUUAGUGUUUUGUGUUUUUAUUUUGUAAAUCACACACACACUUUAAAGCUUAGAAAGUACAAAUCUUGUCACUUUUGUUUUUGGGUUUGAAAAAUCACCAAGAACAUAUAAAUCUUGAAAAAAUGUGUUCAUGGUUUUGUUCUUGGUGUUCAUAAUUGGUUUGGAUUUGAUGAAAAUGGUUUUAUGGUUUUCAUGCAUUGUUUUGUGGUUUUGGAUGAUGUACAUACCAUCCAUAGCCAUAUCUCAAAAAAUUUUAUUAAAUCCUAGACUUUAUUAGGUGAAAUUCCAUCAUUUUGUUUCAUUAAAGUCCUUAAAGCAUAGACAAGUGACAAAUAAAAUUUGUUUUUUCUACUUUGAAAUGUGAUUUAAAGCAAAAUGAGUGGGAUUUUUCUAUUUCCCCCUCACUUAAUGUGGCCGGCCUACCUAUUGGAAUACCCACUUGUGGGGUAUUUUGUAAUUUAGAAAAAGACAUUUUAUACUUUUGAAAGUAUUUAUGGUUUUGACCCCUAACUUUUUUCUUAUUUUGCAUUUAGGCCCCUACUAACUAGAAAGUUAAAAUAUUUGAUUUUAAUUUUGUUAGUUGUUUUAAACUCAUAAUUACUAUUAUGCCCAUAUGCACUAAAUCUAAAUGUUUAUGUUGCAUUCCAUUUAAUUAUUUAAAUGUGUUUAAAUAGUUGUGAAAUGGAUGACUUUGGACUUAUGCCUUAAACGAUAAUUGAGCUAUGAGAUAAGGCGCUAAAAUCAAAUUGUUUUGAACCUUGGGAAUGUGUUUUAAUUACUGUUUAAUUGGACCUUGUCACGUUUGAAGUUAAUCUAUCUCUCUCCUUUUAGUAUAUGUAAUUUAUAGGAAUUUGUACAAAUCGGUUUGUAAUUCUUAUUACUUCUUAAUCUCUAUUCAUUAGUUGGAUUCCCUCUAGUGCUAGACUAGAGUUUCUUUAACUAUUGGUAAGGAGACAUAACUAAAAGAAGGGUUUUUUGACAUGAGAUUAAAGUUUAAAAAUGGGUCCAACGCCCUAAUUAGCAAUGAAUGAUUGUCUUUCAUUUCUAAUGGCUCAAUGAAAAUAGUUUUAAUUGGAUUAAUAAGCACGUAAUUAAAUUGACACAACCUCCCCGAGUUUUUAUUCAACAAUGUUGGCUCGUUGUUGCAAUAACCUAAUAAGUCCAUAGUCAUCCAAGAGCCUAAGAUAAACUAUAAAGUUCCAAUUACAAAAGGAAUGCAAAAACCAUAGUAGUAGUAGUUACUUCCAAUAUUUGAAAAAUUCGUUUUUGAUAUUGAUUUGUUUUUCUUCAAAACAAAUAGUGGGAGUAUCAUACGCUACUAAACUAUAAUGAAUACAAUUAGUAGUUAUAUAUAUCUCCAAUAUUUUGAAAAAUGUUUUGAUAUUGAUUUGUUUUAUGAAAACGAAUAGUGGGGAUAUUAUAUGCUACUAAAUUUCAUUAACUUUGGACUAGUAGUUAUAAUAGGACAUUAUUUAUUUGAUUGUGAUUAAAUAAAUGAAAUUGAUGAGACCUUAAAAUCCCUCAAACCAACUCAAUAUUAAGUUGAAAACGUAAGAGUGCUUUGAACACUUUUUCGUGGCCUUCCACCAUGGUAGGCUCCAAGCGUUUAUGACUUGUACACCGCCUUCACCCUAUAAUGGGGAAGUGACAAAGUGCAUGCUUAUAUUCAGGAGGAGUUUAUUUAAAACAUUUGAUGAGGUUGAAGGAUAGGCAACGAGUGUGGCCAAUAUCGUAUAAUCGUGAGGUCAUGCUUGAACCCCUAUCUAAACCAGCAUGGUGGGAAAUAACUUAACUAAGAGAAAAUGGUGCCAAUAUCGUAUAAUCGUGAGGCAUUGUUUCUCUAGAGGCCAAAAAGAUGGGUAAUCACAAGAGGUUGUUGUGAAUGGGUAAGCUUGUACCCUCUCAUUAUUUUUUUGCUAGCCAACAUCGUAUAAUCGUGAGGUGGGCUUGGUAAUAGUAAGCCUCCCAUAACCCGCUAGGAGCUUUCUUUGAAAUCUCCCGGAUUCCAUUCAUGGGGGAUAUGGAAUUUGCCAAAAAAAUGGUGGGUGGUGUCAUUCGGUUUAAAGACCCGAAUCGUUUGACUUAAUCAACAAUCAAUCUAAUUAUUUUAUUUGUUUAUGUAUAUAGAUAUGGUUGGAAGCGCACUCGCGAAAAUACUCGACAAACAUUGCCUAGAGGGGCACAAUUUCCCAUCAUGGUAUCGUAAUAUCAAGAUUCUCCUAACAUUGGAGAAGAUUGUUUACGUGCUAGACAAAGUCCCAUCUCACAUACCUCUUGGCCCUGAGGCUACUGAGGAUGAACGUGCUAAGUAUGACAAGUACGUUGAGGAUGACACACAAGCCAAAUGCUAUCUGUUGGCUUCCAUGAAUGAGGAGCUACAGAGACAGCAUGAGGGCAUGGACAGUGCAUAUUCCAUAAUACUCCAUCUUACGGAAUUAUAUGGUGAAGGGACGCGCAACCGUCGCUUUAGCACUGUCAGUGAACUUGUGAAGACCAAGAUGGUCAAAGGGGCUCCAGUGCAUCAACAUGUACUGAAGAUGAUAGGACUCAUUGAACAAUUGGAGAACCUAGGUACUCCACUUGACGGGGAAUUGGCCCAGGACUUUAUAUUGGCUUCUCUUUCUGAUUCAUUUGCGCAGUUCUUAAUGAACUACAAUAUGAAUAAGAUGGAUAGUUCUCUCUCUGAGUUGCUAAAUAUGUUAGUAACUGCCGAGAAGACUAUGAAGAAAGAGAACGUUGUAGGGAUUGCUGCAGUAGCCUACAACAAGCCAUCCUCUUCCAAGGCUAUGCCGCAAGGCAAAGGCAAAGGGAAGGAGAAGAAGUCACCCACUCCAUAAGCCGAAAGGAGGAGUGAGAAAAAGAAGGCAAUGGAGCCCAAGGGGACUUGCCACCACUGUGGAAAGGAGGGGCAUUGGAAGAGGAAUUGCAGGUUAUACCUUGCAACUCUUAAGGACAAACCACAAGGUAUGGUUUAUGUUCUUAUCUUCAAUUCUAACUGUUAGAUCUUCUAAAUAUUUAUAUUUGAUAUAAAGAGCUAAUCACUUGUAUAAUUGUAUAUAGGUGGAGGAGCCAAGUAGAAGAGGAACAAGCAAGGAAUAAUGUGGAGAAGGGUUCGGCCACUAUGUUUUUGCUUACUACUUAGGAAGUUUGUUAGGCAUUUAAAGAUUGUCUUUAAACUUUCUUAUUUUGUUAAGAACUUAAUGUGGCUUCAUAUGAUGGAAGACCACUAUUUGUGCCUAAAUGUAUGAAGGUAUUUAUAUUAGACUCUAAAUAUAUAGAGCUAAUAUUUUUGUGUUAAACAUUAUGAAUGUUUGAAUUAUCAUAUUAAUGUAAUGUGAAGAAUGCCUUUUUAAUAUACUAUUUCCUUAAAGUAGUGUUAUGAAUUGAAAAUUGUCUUGUUGUAUCCUAGAUGAGAUACAAGAGUUAUAUCACAAGUAAUAAGAAAAACGUUUCUUAUAUGGUUAUCACUUAAAUCACAAUGAUCAAGAUCACUCUUGAUUCAAUUAGUAGUUUUGAACAACAUAUUGGGCAUUCUUUAAAAUUGUUUUAAAAUGUCAAUUGUGUUAGUGAUGAAACCAAGAAAGAAGUGUCUAAAUCUAUAAAAUGUUUAAAGACUUUAGUCACUUAAUAACAAGACAUUAACUUAGUGAAGAUUGAAACAAAUAAGCUUGAAAUGUUUUAAAGCUAUUACCCAAUGUCUUCCUCCAAUAAACUCCACGUUUAUACAUUUUGAAUGUAUGAAGUGAUUUCUCAUUAAAGUCAUGAGAAAUAGUGGGAGGUGUGAAAAUGGAUAUAAACUUGAAUGUGAUUGGUUUAUAGUUGUCUAAAUAAAUAAUAGUACUUGACUAUUAUUAAGAGUUUGUAAUUUUAAUUGUUAAAAGAACUCAAGCUCUUCAAACGUUAAAAUGCUAUGUUGUGAGACAUUUAAAGAAUAGUCUUUGAAUGUUGGUUUCGUCAACCUAACGUAAAAUGGUUAUAUGUUGGGUGUUAUCCAUCAUUCUCUUUUAUGAGAACAAGCUAAUAACAAAGCAUAUGGACAAGUUGAUGAAACAAAAAGGGAAUAAGUUUUCAAAAUGAGUCCACAACAUAUGGUUUAACAACAAGACAAUCCAAAUUCAACAUCUCAUGUAACGAUAUUGCUCAAUGUAGUUUUGAUAAAGAAUUAUAUCAACCAACUAGAAGGAAUGGUUGAGUUUCUAUAUUCUUGGUAGGAGCUAUGUUUCCACUAAAGACUUGGAUAAUUCUUAUAUGACUACAUUAAAGGUCUUAGUAUGACUAAAAUUUGAAGUAUGGUGUAUGACACCAUAUAAUUUAAAUGAAUAGACUUAAUGAAACAAGUCACACAUUUUGGAAUUACUUGAGAAGGAAUUCUUUUGUGUAUGAUUCAUUUAAGUUAAUGGGAGCAAUAUGCAUUCAAAUCAAGAAAUUAUAAUUGUUAAUUUUGAAGGAAUGCUAAGUUACAAACAAGGCCAGUGGGAGUGAUGUCAUAAUUUGAGCAACAAAGAUAUGAAUAAAGUCUAUUUGAUAGACUUACUUAAACAUAGAUGUUACUCGAAAAAUGACAAAAUAUGACACGGUCAAUUUUGAAGUAUAGACUUGAAAUUGGACUUAUUGAUAUAGCAAGGCUAUUUCAAUAAUGUUAUAUGGAAUUAAAUCUCAGAUGUUGGAGAUUUAAGAAAGCAUUUUACUAUAUGAUAGAAAAUCACUUUCAUAACCCAUUAUAAUGAAUGUCAUAAAAUCACAAAAGGGACACAUGUAUUGACUUGUGAAGUAGAUAUCCAAAGAUGAAGAAACCACACGGGUUGUCACUUUAAGAUAUUACUAUAUCCCAGGAUCAGAACCAAAGCAACUGAUAGAGUAUUAUUGCCUUUAAGAAAGAAACAUCAGAGUGGGACUCUGGAAGCGUGCAUUCACUUAGGUUGAUUAACCAAAGUGAAAGAUAAGCCAUUUUAACAAAUGGAACUUCAUAAUGGAUGAAGUACUAAUCAUAUGAAUGAAUUGUUAGUAUUGUACUACAAUGGUCUCAAGAUUGGAGCAAAGUUUGUAUAAAGUAUACAAACGAAAUAUAUGUCGAUAUAUAGUUUUAGAAACUGCUUCAAAAAGUGUUUUGAAUGAAGAGGUUCUUAUAGAACCAAUGAUUGAAUCCAAACCAUAAGGUCGUUAGUAGGAUACUACGACGUAAUGGGGCGAUAGCUCAAGCCGUGGAAUCAAGGUCUCAUCAAAAUAUUCGAACACGAUGAAGAGACAUCAUCAAAUGUUUUUGGAAACAUUUGAUAAGUAAAUCCCUUUUUAAAUAAUAAAAGGAAUUAAUACAUAACCAAGUUAACCUACGACCAUAAGCUCUCUCAGCUAAGAUGUAUAAGAUACACUAGUGAUUGACUUUAGUGCAAGUGGGAGAUUGUUGGAAAUAUGCCCUGAAAGUCAAUCUUUAGAAGAAAUCUUUCAGGACAAAUGAAUGGAUGUAUGGAUGAAUCUUAUACAUCAAAGGCAAAAACACGAAUUAAGACUAUCUCAAUGAACGAUAUAUGUCCUAAAUAGUGUAUCCAUGGACAAUAGAUUGAUUGAAGAAGUAAUCUAAUGAUGUUAGAUUACAGAGACCUUCUUCACAUAACCAAAUGUCCAAAAGGUUCCUAGUCAUUGGAUUGUCGGAGGGAUACUGACAAUGCGUAGACCGGUACAUACUGUGUCUGCUUCAAAUGGAAGGAUGGAAAAUCUCAUCCCAUUCGUGUUGUGACACUAAGACAAGUAUGUAGGUGCUCAUUAGGGGAAUGAGUUCACUGAACACAAUCGAACGAGAGUACUUGCAUGGAGGUCUACUCAUAUGUCAAGCAAGUAACUCUAAUGGUUGGAAAUAAUGUAAGUAGUCCUUAGACCUGAGGCAUCGUCGUUGUCUUGUGGCUAAGUAUUUAAUCUUUGAUUAUGUCAAAGUCUCCCCAUUCGAGGGUGUCCACGGCAUGAUUGGGGUUAAGCCACUUAGUCAUGAAGGCAAGUAUAUGCGCAACAAGGAAUCUCUAAUCCUCAAUAAGAGAGGAAGAAUGCUCUAAGAUAUGAUUCGGGAAUCUUCGGCCGAAGUAUCGAGCGUAUUAAAAGGAAUGCGUUCCUAUACGACUCAAAUGAAUCAUAUAAGAAGGAAUAAUCACAUUAGGGGUUUGACAUAAUACAUCCAUACCCUAAUGAUGUGAUUGAGAGUAUUGUAUUAGAGAAGGAUCGAAUUACAUUGUAAUUCUAACUGAAUAGGUUCUCUGAAUAAACUUCUACAUUAGCUUGGGUAGCUAUGACAUAUGGUUAGAUGUCAAUCAUAGCUUGUGAGUUCUUCUAGAUGAUUAAAUGUAGUCAUCAAAGAAGAAUGGUGAAUUGAAAUGAAGUUUCAAUUCACUAAGUGAUUGAAUUAAUUGGAUUAGUGCCAAUCACCUCACUGCCUUGCUAAUUAGAACCUAAAAGAUUGUUCACCAAUACACUAUUGUAGUGAGUAAUUAAUGGAUGAUGGAAACAAUUAAUUGGAUUAAUUAUGUGUUGUGAUUAAUUUAGAAAAGUCUAAAGAAAUCAUAAAAGCGAUAAAGAUCGUUUUGGGCUUAAAGAAACGUUCGGGUUUAAUUGGGUCCAUUGGGUCCAUUGGGCCCAAACCCAUUGGGCUUUUAUUCAAGCAUUGGAUGACUUGAAAUAAAUGAAAGCCCAAAGCCCAAACAACACAAAGAGGGCCGGCCAUAUUAGGUGUUUAGGAGAGAAGAAUAGUCAAGUUGUUGACUAGGUUUCUUUUGUCUAUAAAAGGAACUUUAUAGCAAAUGUUUCAUAGGGGGUUUUUUGUGUGUUUAGAACCAAAAAGAGGCUAAAGAAAACUCUCUCAAAUACUCACAGGGCCGGCCACCUUAAGGGAAAAAGAGCUAACAAUCUUUCACCCUUUUGGUUAUUCCUUCAUCCUUCUCAUUACACUAGUGGGUGAGGAUCUUUAGAGGUUUCCUACUUUGGAAACUUGAAGAGAACCUAGGAGCACUCAUUCUUUCAAAGUGGAGGAGGCAAGGAGGGAAGCUAGGCUCAAGGAUUUCAAGGAGCAAAGAGAUUGGAGGUGGUCCAUCCUUGGUCUAAAAUCAAGAUCAAGAGGUAUAGAUCUAUUCCUUGACUUUGUUCUUGAUUCUUUAAAAUGUUUUGAUGCAUUAUAUAUAAACCUAUGAACCUUGAAGGGGAUUUGCAUGACUAUAGCUUUGAUUUUAUUUGAUAACAUGCUUCCGUUGCUCAUGUAUAUAAAUUGUUGAAUUGUAUAUGCAUGCUAGUCAUCUAGAAAUCCCACAUGAAACUCAUAAAUUUCCCUUCAUUACAUCCACUCAUUACCAAACAUCCAUC
rnacentral:lncRNA from 1 species